rnacentral:snoRNA from 1 species
AAUUGGCAAUGAGGAGGAUCUUUCAGCUUUAUAAUGCUAGUUUUGCUUCUGAUUCUUCACGAUUAAAAGCUAGAUUUUUUUGAGCCUUUC